AUGACUCUUGGCAAUGGAUAUCUCAGCUUUCACAUCGAUGAUGAAUGUAGCAAAAUAUGAUACUUGGUGUGAAUUGCAUAAUCUAAUUAACCAUUGAGUCUUUGAACACAAGUUGCAUCCCAAGCCAUUAGGUUGAGGGAAUACCUACCUGGGGUCGUGCGUCAUAGCCCCCUCUAACCCCCUACCCAUCGAGCUCUAGGUGAGAGGGCAGGAGAUGGCCUCCCAUGAUCUCGUCAGUCAAGGUUGGCACAAAAGUGAGUCCCUAGCAAUGAUAGCACUAUGAUCAUUGAGGGUAAAGCUUCUAGCAUGCCUUAUCUCCAGUGACGUGCACUCCUUGUUGAUUUGGACCCUUCACAUCAUUUGGUGCAUCAUGACCCUAGGUUAGGCGGGAUUACCCAUUGAGUUUAAGCAUAUCAAUAAGUGGAGGAAAAAAACUUACCAAGAUUCCUUUAGUAAUGUGCUAGCGAAUCAGGAAGAGCCCAACUUGAGAAUUGGGUGCCUCCGGCAUCUGAAUUGCAAUCUAGAGAAGUGUCAUUAGCAGUGGAUCAUGCCCAAGUCCCUUGGAAAGGGGCACCAAAAAGGGUAAGGCCCUAUUGUACCUAGAUCCUAUCGCACCAUGAGGCACUAUUUGCUAAUUGGGUUAUUUGAGAAUGUAACCUAAAUCAGGCAGUAAAUUUUGUCCAAGGUUGAAUACGAGUAAGAAAUUGAUAUUAAGUACCGCAAGCGAAAGAUGAGAAAGACUUUGAAAAGAAAGUCCAAGAGUGCUUGAAAUUAUUGAGAGGGAAGCAGAUGGGGGUUGAUGAUAUGCCCUAGUCAGAUGUGGAAUGGCGAGAGCCAGUUCAUCGAUUGGCUUAAGGCAUGGACUAACAUGGGUUAUGAUGGCAGCCCAAGCUAAGGCUUUCGAUAUGCCCAUGAAGAUGUCAUCAUUGUGAUUGUAGAAUGUAGCACACACUGUCUCAGUGAGCCUUGGCACCUACAUGCUCUCAACAUUAGCCUGUGGGCUCUCUAUCUAGCCUAUCUUGAAACACAGACCAAUGAAUCUAACAUCUGUGUGAGUUGGGCUAGAAAAACCAUAAGGUGCAAGGAAGCUGAUUGGUGGGAUCCCUCGCUAGUGCACCACUAACUGACCUUGAUCUUUUGAGAAAGGUUCAAGUGUGAGCAUGCUUGUCGGGACCCAAAAUAUGGUGAACCAUGCUUGAGUGAGGCAAAGCCAAAGGAAACUUUGGUGGAGGCCCGCAGUGAUACUGACGUGUAAGUUAUUUGUCUGACUUGGGUAUAGGGGUAAAAGGCUAAUUGAAAUGUCUAGUAGCUGGUCCCAUGAGAACCACACUUGCACAUGGGUUAGUCGAUCCUAAGAGAUGAGGGAAGCCCAUCUAACAGUGCAUCUAGCAUAAGCUUCAAAAGGGAAUUGGGUUAAAAUUCUUGAACCGAGACACGGUGGUGAAUGGAAAUGUUAGGGAGUUUGGAGAUAUCGGUAGGGGCCUCGAAAAGAGUUAUAUUUUCUAUUUAAUGGCCUGCCCAUCCUAAAAAUGGCUUAGCCAAAGGUAGAGUCUAGUGGUAGAAAAAGCACUAAAUGUUGCAUGGUGCCCGGUACACCCUUAGUGGCCCUUGAAACUUUGAAGGAUCGACUACCAUCCAUGCUCAAUCGUACUCAUAACUGCAUCAAGUUUCCAAGGUGAACGGUCUCUAGUCGAUGGAACUAUAUAAUCAAGGGAAAUUGGUAAAAUGGAUCUGUAAUCUUAGGAAAAUGAUUGGCUCUAAGGGCUAGGCAUAGAGGGUCCCAAUCUUAAACCCAUUAGAUGCCAAUACAUUGCUCGAGCCACUCUUGCAAUAAGAGUAGGUUGUCACAUAUUGGUCAAGGGAUGGAUUAGGAACGGCUUGGGGACCUUCUCUAAACGAUGAACAAUCGACUCAAAACUGGUAUGGAGAAGGGGAAUAGGACUAUUUAAUUAAAGCAAAGCAUUGUGAUGGUCCCUACAAAUGUUUACACAAUGUGAUUUUUACCCAGUGCUCUGAAUGUCAAAAUGAAGAAAUUCAACCAAGUGUAGGUAAAUGGUGAGAGUAACUAUGACUCUUUUAAGGUAGCCAAAUACCUUAUCAUCUAAUUAGUGAUGCACAUGAAUGGAUUAAUGAGAUUCCUACUAUCCCUAUCUACUAUCUAACGAAAUCACAGCCAAAGGACUGAGUUUGGUGGAAUUAAUAGGCAAAGAAGACCUUGUUGAGCUUGACUCUAGUUUGACUUUGUGAAAUGACUUGAAAGGUGUAGGAUAAAUGGGAGCCUUCAGGUGAAAUUAAAAUACCAUUACUUUUAACAUUACUUUACUUAUUUCAUGAAUCAGAGGUACGGCAUGACCCUUUCUUUUGGACCUAAGGUUGACCUCGAUCGACUAACUCCAGUGGAAGACAUUUUUAUGUAGGGAGUUUGGCUAGGGCAACACAUCUGUUAAAAGAUAAUGCAUGUGACCUAAGAUAAGCUUAACAAGAACAGAAAUCUCACGUGGAACAAAAAGUUAAAAGCUCCUUUGAUUUUGAUUUCCAAUACGAAUAUGAACCAUGAAAGCAUAGCUAAUUGAUCCUUUAGAUGCUCAAAAUUUGAAGCUUGAGUUGUUAGAAAAGUUACCACAUGGAUAACUAGCUUGUGGCAACCAAGUAUUCAUAAUGACAUUGCAUUUUGAUCCUUCAAUGUUGGCUUUUCCUAUCAUUAUAAAGCAGAAUUCACUAAGUGUUGGAUUGUUUACCCACUAAUAAAGAAUGUGGGGAGGGUUUAAACUGUCAUGAGACAAGUUUGUUUAACCUUACUAAUGGCAGUGUUGCAAUAGUAAUUCAACCUAGUAUGAGAGGAACCUUUGAUUCACACAAUUGGCCAUCACGCUUCGUUGAAAAGCUAGUAGUGUGAAGCUACCAUUUGUUAGAAUAUGACUAAAUGCCUUUAAGUUAGAAUCUAGGCUAGAAGUGAUGCAUGCACCCAUCACUUGAUUGCCAACCCAUAGUAAGGGCCCAUGGCCCCUAAGGGCACGUGUCAUAAGUGUAGCCCCUACAAUGAACAAGCCAUGUGGGCUUCUUUGGAGAUGAAUUCCCGCCUAGCAGCGAGUAGAAUCCAUUGUAGAUAACUUAAAUAUCUGACAGGGUAUUGUAAGUGCUAGAGUGGCUUGCUGCCAUGAUCUAUUAAAUUUAGCCCUUUGUCACUUAAGUCACCUCUCUUCCCC
rnacentral:rRNA from 1 species